GUUUGAUCCUGGCUCAGAACGAACGUUGGCGGCGUGGAUUAGGCAUGCAAGUCGAACGAAUCCCUAGCAAUAGGGGGAAGUGGCGUAAGGGGCAGUAAGGCAUGGGUAACUUACCCCGCAGUCUGGGAUAGCCCGUCGAGAGACGGGGUAAUACCGGGCGAUGUCGUGACCAGGCCUCUGGUUACGAUCAAAGAUUUAUCGCUGCGGGCGAGGCUCAUGUAGUAUUAGCUAGUUGGUGGGGUAACGGCCCACCAAGGCUGAGAUGCUUAGCGGGUGUGAGAGCACGACCCGCGCCACUGGCACUGAGACACUGGCCAGACACCUACGGGUGGCUGCAGUCGAGAAUCUUCGGCAAUGGGGGCAACCCUGACCGAGCGACGCCGCGUGGGCGAUGAAGGCCUUCGGGUUGUAAAGCCCUGUCGAGGGGGAGGAAAGGCAACUUGACCUAUCCCUGGAGGAAGCACGGGCUAAGUUCGUGCCAGCAGCCGCGGUAAGACGAACCGUGCGAACGUUGUUCGGAAUCACUGGGCUUAAAGGGCGCGUAGGCGGAUGGCCGCGUCUGGGGUGAAAUCCUCCCGCUCAACGGGAGAAUGGCCUUGGAUACGGGCGAUCUGGAGGAAGGUAGGGGCGUGCGGAACUAUGGGUGGAGCGGUGAAAUGCGUUGAGAUCCAUAGGAACUCCGGUGGCGAAGGCGGCACGCUGGACCUUUACUGACGCUGAGGUGCGAAAGCCAGGGGAGCGAACGGGAUUA
rnacentral:rRNA from 1 species